CACGUAGGCGGAUCGUUAAGUCGGGGGUGAAAUCCUGGAGCUCAACUCCAGAACUGCCUUCGAUACUGGCGAUCUUGAGUCCGGAAGAGGUGAGUGGAACUCCUAGUGUAGAGGUGGAAUUCGUAGAUAUUAGGAAGAACACCAGUGGCGAAGGCGGCUCACUGGUCCGGUACUGACGCUGAAGUGCGAAAGCGUGGGGAGCAAACA
rnacentral:rRNA from 1 species